AGAACGAACGCUGGCGGCACGCCUAACACAUGCAAGUCGAGCGCCCAGCAAUGGGAGCGGCGGACGGGUGAGGAACACGUGGGAACAUGCCUUUCGGUUCGGCACAACUGCGGGAAACUGCAGCUAAUUCCGGAUACGCCCUUACGGGGAAAGAUUUAUCGCCGAAAGAUUGGCCCGCGUCUGAUUAGCUAGUUGGUGAGGUAAUGGCUCACCAAGGCUUCGAUCAGUAGCUGGUUUGAGAGAACGACCAGCCACACUGGGACUGAGACACGGCCCAGACUCCUACGGGAGGCAGCAGUGGGGAAUCUUGGACAAUGGAGGAAACUCUGAUCCAGCGAUGCCGCGUGAGUGAUGAAGGCCUUCGGGUUGUAAAACUCUUUUACCAGGGAAGAUAAUGACUGUACCUGGAGAAGUAAGCCCGGCUAACUUCGUGCCAGCAGCCGC
rnacentral:rRNA from 1 species